ensembl:lncRNA
UGCAGGUUCGGUUUCUAGGUGCUGUUUACUGUGACUCCAGGGCUUUUGAGGCAUUUCUGCCUUUCACUGGAUAUCUCUGUUUCCAAUCAUUUAUCUCCAGGCGCUUAGCUCUUUCCUAUUUUAAACUUUAGUUAUUUUCUGCUUCAAAUUUCCAGUCUUACUGGGUUUCUUUUGAUUACUGCUUGUCAACCUAUAAUGUUUAUAACACCUACAUGUUUAUAAUUACCUGAUGAUAGAAUUCCUCCAUUACUUAAUUCUUCAGAAUCACCUUUAAAAGUGAACAGGUACCAACAACAGCUACCAGUAGGAGAUGAACAGAGAUAAAAGAGCUAAUAUGGACUGGACAGUUUUCCUUUGCCAGGUACCAUGUGCUAAGCACUUUCACGUGUGAUCACCCUAAUAGUAAAUCAUAAUCUGUAGGUGCUACUGUCACCCCCUUUUUCUAGAUAAAGAGACCUAAGCCUUAGAAAAAUUAAGUAACCUGCUCAACGUCAUAAAGCUAGUAACUGAAAAGACCAGGAUUUGAAACCAACUAGCAGACUUAAUCGUUAGGCUGCUUUGUUUUCACGUGUAUUUAUAGGGGCCAUAUGGAUGUGCAGCCAUAUACAUGUAUGUAUAACUGAGUCACCCUGCUGUACAGCAGAAAUCAUCCCAGCCUUUAAAUCAACUACCCUUCAAUGAGACAUUAAAAAAAGAAGUUUUUUAGCUUUGUUUACUAUUUUGAACCAUAAAGAUAGCUGAUUUUAUUUUUAACAAUGAAAAACCCUUGUUAAUUAGCUUACUCUUUAAAAAGUGUACUUUAGUUACAUUAGGGAGGACUUUUAUUUUGAUGAUUUUUAUUUUUUUCCAUUAUAGCUGGUUUACAGUGUUCUGUCAAUUUUCUACUGUACAGCAAGGUGACCCAGUCACACAUAUGUAUAUUCAUUCUUUAUCAGGCUCCAUCAUAAGUGACUAGAUAUAGUUCCCAGUGCUACACAGCAGGAUCUCAUUGCUAAUCCAUUCCAAAGGCAAUAGUUUGCAUCGGUUAACCCCAGGUUCCCAAUCCCUCCCACUCCCUGCCCCCGACCGGGCAACCACAAGUCUGUUCUCCAAGUCCAUGAGUUUCUUUUCUGUGGAAAGGUUCGUUUGUGCCGUAUAUUAGAUUCCAGAUAUAAGUGAAAUCAUAUGGUACUUGUCUUUCUCUUUCUGACUUACUUCACUUAGUAUGAGAGUCUCUAAGUCCAUCCAUAUUGCUACAAAUGACAAUAUUUUGUUCUUCUUUCUGGCUAAGUAGUAUUCCAUUGUGUGUGUGUGUGUGUGCGCGUGUGUGUGUGUGUGUGUGUGUGUGUAUCUUCCUAAUCUGUCCAUCUGUUGAUGGACAUUUAGGUUGUUUCCAUGUCUUGGCUAUUGCGAAUAGUGCCGCAGUGAACAUACAGGUGCAUGUGUCUUUUUCAAGGAAAGUUUUGUCCGGAUUAUAUGCCCAAGAGUGGGACUGCUGGGUCAUUCCAUAUUUAGUGUUCUGAGGAAAAGCUCUAUACUGUUUUCCAUAGUGGUUGUACCCAUUGGCAUUCCCAACAGUGCAGGGGGUUCACAUGAGGGAGGAUUAAGACACCGUUACCUCGCAGAGGCACAGCAGAGGCCCUGGAGAGGGGAGGACGCUGAGGCAGUUGUUAAAUGACUUGACAAAGUCCACAGAAUUAGUUUGCAGCAGAGUGUGGAUUCCAGCACUGCUUCCACCCCAAGGUCCUGCCUCCAAGAUGAAGGGAAGCAGCUCCCAGGGAGCCAGGCAUGUGCAGCUCUUGGAGCCUGUGUGGUGCUCUCUGAGCCAGGCCGGGAACCUCCAGCGCUGCAUCCCACCUGCCAGUGGAGGCUUGCAUUUGCCCCCCGGGCGUAGGCUCUGCUCUCUGCACACGCCUUCCUCCAAGUAGGCUGUGGGCUGGCUCUGUGCCCUAAGCAAGGCCUGGCACUGAGGGCAGCCUGCCAAGGCCUGCAGGUCACCAGCACAGCUCCAGCUCUCCCCUUCUCCACCUACAUGCCUUCUGCCAUCAGCGAGUCCUCCAAGGUUCAGGCCUUGCCCGCCCGCUCCCUGAAGCCCCCUCUAGCCACCUCAGGCUAAAAUGAUCUCUCCCCCUUCCAAACACUAGAACUCGCAUUUCCCAGGCCGCAUUCACCACUUAUCAUAUGCUGCUUGGUAUUGUCUGUUUGGUAACUUUUAUCUAAGAGCCUGGAUUGCCCGGAGGGCAGAGAUUAUCUCUUAUUCAUCACUGUAUCCACCACACUGCUUAGCCUAAGGCCCAGAACAAAAUAGGUGUUCUAGAAAUGUUGAUUGAUUUAUUGUCCGUGGAAAUGAAAAUGACUUCCUUGCUUCUAUGGUGACCCAAGAAAAGAAAGUAACUUUUCUGAGACCCAUGAGAUCAACUGAGGAAAUACUUCCAGAGCCCUCAAAAGAAAAAUAAUUUGGAGGACCUAAAAUUACAUGCACAAGACUGUGUGUGACUUGUUAAAAUAGGUUAAAAAAAUGUGCACCUUAUUAUUGGAUAUUAGGCAGACAAAAAAAAAAAAAACCAACAACAGCAAAUGAUCACUCUACAGACUUGCGUGCUGAAACAUAUAUUUUUUGUUGUUGUUGUCUUUUUUUGUCUUUUUGCUAUUUCUUUGGGCCACUCCACGGCAUAUGGAGGUUCCUAGGCUAGGGGUCGAAUCGGAGCUGUAGCCACCAGCCUACGCCAGAGCCACAGCAACGUGGGAUCUGAGCCGCGUCUGCUACCUACACCACAGCUCACGGCAACGCCGGAUCCUUAACCCACUGAGCAAGGGCAGGCACCGAACCCGCAACCUCAUGGUUCCUAGUCGGAUUCGCUAACCACUGCGCCACGACGGGAACUCCCUGAAACAUAUUUUUCAUUGAAUUUUUCAAACCAGUAAUGCAUAUAGACACGGCUGGGAAAUUCAACUGAUUACUCACUACCAGAUUACUAAAGAGAGGGGAAGCCAAAAAUUGCAAUCCUGAAAUUCUCAAUAUGCAGUGCUCUUAUUUUACUGGCUUUGAACAUUCUGCUGAGAGGAGUCAACAUAUUUUACAGUAACAUCUUAAAUGCUGAGAGAAGCUGAAGCUCUGCCUUGUACCAAUAGAAGAACUAAUCUAACCCUUACAGUGGUGACUUUCAUUCAGAAAGAAUCUUUCACUUUGCUUUCCUACAAUGGCUUUAUUUGGCUUCUCUUGGCCCUCCUAAAAUUAAUGAAGAGCUUUUGACUAUCUUUUUCUGAUAUCUUCAUAUUGCUUAUCAACAAAUUGGUUACUUGGCCUGAGGCCGAUUUGGUCAAUAUACUGCGCUCUAUUUUUGUGGCCACCACAGAAUAAACUGUAUUGUGUCAUUCUUUAACACACUCUGUAUCAUAGAAGAGCAGAAAUCUAAAAUUAGAAGGGAUUUUAGAAAUCAACUCAUGCAAUUCUUUAAUUUCUCAGGGACAUAAGGAAUGAUGAGAAAGAUUAGAUAACUUGCCCAAAGCCAUAUGUUGUUACUGACAACCAUCAAUGAAAAAGUUAUUUUUCCGAUAGAAUAGACUCUUUGUCAUCUAACAGUUAGACUGGUUGGCAAUCAACUUUAAAAUGUUUUUAAAAUUAUUCUCCAGUAGAAUUAUACUUUCAGUAGACUAUAAAAAUAAAUUAUAGAAAUAAUAAUAUAGAAGUAAUAACAGAAAUGAUUUCAACCCACAGACAGAGAAGAAAUUCCUUAAAAACAAAGACAGGCUUUAAAGGGUGUGGCUGGAGAGGGUGGCAGAGCUGAGAAUGGCUGCAGGGUUCUCCUCCUCCAGGAAAAGGACUAACCCAUGAAAUCAGUUUGUCUUCAGCAUAGUUCCAACCUCCCUUUCUGCGGCCCUUCCCUCCUCAUUGGGGGCUUCUCGCUUCCCUACUCCCUGUUUCAGGUGGUCUACGCCUAGCCAGCCUCCUCCCUCGAUCAAAGCAGGAAUUAAGUAUUCACGCAUCUAGAGCUGAUACAUUUCAACCUAUUAUUUUAACCAGAGUUUUCCAUCUUAAGUGAGUCCUUGACAACUGGUACAUCAUCAAGGAAGUGGAAAAAUAUCUUUGGACUUCCUUAAAUCACACGAUUCAUUUUAUGCCCAGAGAGGAACAUGAGGUGACUUAGUUAUAUGUAGGUAAUAAGUAAGGCUCUGUCAGAGGAAUGACCUGUCCUUUCCCUAGUCCUACCUUGUAGACAGCAACUUCUGCCCUUGGGAGGAUAAAACAGGGCCUGGGGACCAUUCCUAUGAGUGGGUCGAGACAGAAGCGUUGACGUCCCAUUGUCCCACAAGCAUCUCCUGGAUAUGGAUUCAGAGGGUUUUUUGACCCAGGUUUUCUUGGCAGGCACGUGUUCCCCUAUCUCCUCCCCACCAAUUACGCUGGCGAGUGUAAGUCAGUCUUCCAUGCAUCCUCAUUAUUGAUUUCUCACCCAUUUCCCAGGCCAUAUUUUGUACUUUCUAGCAUAUAUUAUAAUGAUUAUAUUCAUAACUUCAUGACAUGAUCAUCCUACUUUCCCCGUCAUUCUGGAAUGAAAUGCAUGCUUUUAUGAUUUUCACCUUGGUCACAAUGUCUGACAGUAAGUUACGACAUGGAAGAAUAUGUUUUCACUCAUUGGUAUCAUGGAACUCUAUCUUAUAAUUAAGAGCAUGAAAUUUACAUGCUUAUUAAGUAACGAGGAUUUGCAGUCAUGAUAACUUAACAUUCCUCUAGUACCUUACCAAUGACACUGAUUACAAUUUCACAUUAUUUUACAACGUAUAAUGAUUCCUUGAGACAGAAAAGAGAAAACCGCUAUUACUACCACGCCCGCUUAACAGUUAAAGAGACACAGACUCUAAAUAUGUCAUUUGCUCGGUGGCACUGACCUCUCUACCUUUUUCACUUCUCUUAGAAGGGAAAAGAGAGAGGAAACUCACAUUGGGUGAGGAUCUACUAUGUACUAGGCACCAUAUCAGGAAUUUUUCACAUACAAUACCUUCAGCAACUUGCCCAUGUUCCAACCGCUAGCAAAUAGGGAACUGGAGUCUUUCUCUUCCCAUCCCGACCCUCACGACUGAUCACCUGAAAUCACCAUCUCAACACCUUUGAUUCUCCUUACACUCUAGUCCCUCCAUCAUAUUCAUUCAGCAAAACCCAGAUGAUAUCACUGUUGUAAUUUACUUUAUCCGCUUCUAUACACACAGGCAUCAGUCGGUUGCUUGAGAAACACCGUACAGCUACAAAUUCAUUUUGUCUCAGUGUGGCUCUGCCCUGUCUCUUUCAUUCAUUCUGGAUCAGUUCCUCCCCAGUUCUUUCCCACAGUUAUUCCAUUCUUAUGACUCACAUUGCCCUCACUCAGCAGAUCACAAAGGUCCCUUUUCAUC